UCCUGGGAAGGGAUGGGAAUCCCCAGGAAGGCAUUGGAAUUCCCGGGAAGGGAUUGGAAUUCCUGGGAAGGGUUUGGAAUCUCCGGGAAAGCAUUGGAAUCCAUGGGAAGGGAUCAGAAUCCCUGGGAAGGGACUGGAAUCUCAGGAAGGGAUUGGAAUGUGGGAAGGGAUCAGAAUUCCUGGGAAGGGAUCGGAAUACCCAGGAAGAGACCGGAAUCCCGAGAAGGGAUUGGAAUUCCUGGGAAGGGAUGGGAAUCCUCGGGAAGGGAUUGGAAUCCCCAGGAAGGGAUUGGAAUUCCUGGGAAGGGAUCAGAAUCCCUGGGAAGGGACUGGAAUCUCAGGAAGGGAUUGGAAUGCGGGAAGGGAUCGGAAUUCCUGGGAAGGGAUCAGAAUCCCCCAGGGAAGGGAUUGGAAUCCCAGGAAAGGACUGGAAUCCUCAGGAAGGGAUCCGAAUCUCCAGGUAGGGGCCAGAAUCCCGGGGAAGGGAUUAGAAUAUCUGGAGAGGGAUCAGAAUCCCUGGGAAGGGAUUGGAAUCCCAGGAAAGGACCAGAAUCCCCAGGAAGGGGCUGGAAUCCCGGGAAGGGAUCGGAAUCCAGGAAGGGAUUGGAAUCUCCAGGAAGGCAUGAGAAUAUCUGGGAAGGGAUUGGAAUCCUGGGAAAGGACCAGAAUCCCUGGGAAGGGAUCAGAAUCCCCAGGAAAGGAUCAGAAUCCUAGGAAAGGACUGGAAUCCUUGGGAAGGGAUUGGAAUUCCCAGGAAGGGAUCCCAGGAAGGGAUCGGAAUCCCAGGAAAGGAUUGGAAUCCCAGGAAUGGGGCUCAGCUCACCCCGCUCUCUCUCCCUCUCCUCCAUCCCUCCAUGUCCCGUUCAGGAUCACCCUGGGCUGGGAAUGCUGCCGGGACAGGGUUUGAGGCUCCAGCCCCUUCCCUCACCCCGAGAUGUUUCCCUGUGUCCCUCCUUUCCUUUCCUUUCNNNNNNNNNNNNNNNNNNNNNNNNNNNNNNNN
rnacentral:lncRNA from 1 species